GCGCCGGUGGUGUAAGGCAUAGCACCGCUGCUCGGAAAGCAGAAAAUGCGAGUCCAAUUCCCGCCUGGCGCA
rnacentral:tRNA from 1 species